rnacentral:ncRNA from 1 species
AAAAAGUUUUAUUUUAGCUUGGAUAAUUAGUGUGUAAAUUAUUUAUAUGUAAAUUUUUGUAUUUAUUUUUAUGGCUUUAGAAAGGUUUUAGGAUUAUUAUUUUAUUUGCAGUAUUAAAUUUUAAAUAUUAAAGAAAUUUAGAUUUAGAAAUUUAUAAUAAUAUAAACAAUAUUUGUGCCAGCAGUUGCGGUUAUACAAAUUAUAUAAUUAAUUAUUUUUAAUUUAUAAUUAUUCAUAUAAUUAAAUUAAAUAAUAAAUAUAAUUUAUUAAGUGAAAUUUUAAAUUAUAUAAAUUUUAAUAAAGGUUUUUGAAGUUAUUAAAUUUUAAAAUAGACUAGGAUUAGAUACCCUAUUAUUAAAAUGUAAAUAAACAAAAUUUAAUUAUUAAAAGAUAUAGUCUUUAAAGUUAAAGAAUUUGGCGGUAUUUUAAUCUUUUCAGAGGAACCUGUCCUAUAAUUGAUAUUCCACGAUUAGUAUUACUUAUUUUAAAAAUUUGUAUAUCGUUGUAAUUGAAUAUUUUAUAAGAAUUUUAAUUUUCAAAAUUUUAUAUAAAAAAAAUAAAUCAGAUCAAGGUGCAGUUUAUAAAUAAGAAGAGAUGGGUUACAAAAAAGUUAUUUUUGGAUUAAAAAUUUAAAAUUUUUAUAAAAUUGGAUUUGAAUGUAAUUUAGUAAAUUUUUAUUUAAUGAUUUUAGCUCUAAAAUAUGUACAUAUCGCCCGUCGCUCUCAUUUAAAAUUAGAUAAGUCGUAACAAAGUAAAUGUACUGGAAAGUGUAUUUAGGUAGCA